AUUAGAGUUUGAUCAUGGCUCAGGAUGAACGCUAGCUACAGGCUUAACACAUGCAAGUCGAGGGGCAGCAUUUCAGUUUGCUUGCAAACUGGAGAUGGCGACCGGCGCACGGGUGAGUAACACGAAUCCAACCUGCCGAUAACUCGGGGAUAGCCUUUCGAAAGAAAGAUUAAUACCCGAUGGUAUAAUCAGACCGCAUGGUCUUGUUAUUAAAGAAUUUCGGUUAUCGAUGGGGAUGCGUUCCAUUAGGCAGUUGGUGAGGUAACGGCUCACCAAACCUUCGAUGGAUAGGGGUUCCGAGAGGAAGGUCCCCCACAUUGGAACUGAGACACGGUCCAAACUCCUACGGGAGGCAGCAGUGAGGAAUAUUGGUCAAUGGGCGCAGGCCUGAACAAGCCAAGUAGCGUGAAGGAUGACUGCCCUAUGGGUUGUAAACUUCUUUUAUAUGGGAAUAAAGUUUUCCACGUGUGGAAUUUUGUAUGUACCAUAUGAAUAAGGAUCGGCUAACUCCGUGCCAGCAGCCGCGGUAAUACGGAGGAUCCGAGCGUUAUCCGGAUUUAUUGGGUUUAAAGGGAGCGUAGGUGGACAGUUAAGUCAGUUGUGAAAGUUUGCGGCUCAACCGUAAAAUUGCAGUUGAUACUGGCUGUCUUGAGUACAGUAGAGGUGGGCGGAAUUCGUGGUGUAGCGGUGAAAUGCUUAGAUAUCACGAAGAACUCCGAUUGCGGAAGCAGCUCACUGGACUGCAACUGA
rnacentral:rRNA from 1 species